GACGAACGCUGGCGGCGUGCUUAACACAUGCAAGUCGAACGGAAAGGCCCUGCUUUUGUGGGGUGCUCGAUUGGCGAACGGGUGAGUAACACGUGAGUAACCUGCCCUUGACUUUCGGAUAACUUCAGGAAACUGGGGCUAAUACCGGAUAGGAUCUCCUGCUGCAUGGUGGGGGUUGGUAAGUUUCGGCGGUUGGGGAUGGACUCGCGGCUUAUCCGCUUGUUGGUGGGGUAGUGGCUUACGAAGGCUUUGACGGGUAGCCGGCCUGAGAGGGUGACCGGCCACAUUGGGACUGAGAUACGGCCCAGACGCCUACGGGAGGCAGCAGUGGGGAAUAUUGCACAAUGGGCGGAAGCCUGAUGCAGCAACGCCGCGUGCGGGAUGACGGCCUUCGGGUUGUAAACCGAUUUCGCCUGUGACGAAGCGUGAGUGGCGGUAAUGGGUAAAGAAGCACCGGCUAACUACGUG
rnacentral:rRNA from 1 species